AGCAGUCGCCGCGGUAAUACGUAGGGUGCAAGCGUUAAUCGGAAUUACUGGGCGUAAAGCGUGCGCAGGCGGUUAUAUAAGACAGAUGUGAAAUCCCCGGGCUCAACCUGGGAACUGCAUUUGUGACUGUAUAGCUAGAGUACGGCAGAGGGGGAUGGAAUUCCGCGUGUAGCAGUGAAAUGCGUAGAUAUGCGGAGGAACACCGAUGGCGAAGGCAAUCCCCUGGGCCUGUACUGACGCUCAUGCACGAAAGCGUGGGGAGCAAACAGGAUUAGAUACCCCGGUAGUCCCUGUCUUCUUAUA
rnacentral:rRNA from 1 species